rnacentral:misc_RNA from 1 species
ACGUGUUCGUUCGGCCGCUCGGGUCGGCCCUGCACCGGCGGAGACGCCGUGCUGCGGGCCCUCGGGCGUGCCUUCCAAACCAAACCCCUGUGAACCUUUGGGAGGGCCGAGCCGUUCGCGGCGAAGUCGUCCCCUUUACAAACUCUGUAUCUCAUAGAAUGACCGCGGACCUCGUCCGCCUAAACACAUAA